ACUCCUACGGGAGGCAGCAGUGGGGAAUAUUGCACAAUGGGCGAAAGCCUGAUGCAGCCAUGCCGCGUGAGUGAUGAAGGCCUUAGGGUUGUAAAACUCUUUCAUCGGUGAAGAUAAUGACGGUAGCCGAAGAAGAAGCCCCGGCUAACUCCGUGCCAGCAGCCGCGGUAAUACGGAGGGGGCAAGCGUUGUUCGGAAUUACUGGGCGUAAAGCGCACGUAGGCGGACUGGUCAGUUGGGGGUGAAAUCCCGAGGCUUAACCUCGGAACUGCCUUCAAUACUGCCAGUCUUGAGAUCGGAAGAGGUGAGUGGAAUUCCUAGUGUAGAGGUGAAAUUCAUAGAUAUUAGGAAGAACACCAGUGGCGAAGGCGGCUCACUGGUCCGAUACUGACGCUGAGGUGCGAAAGCGUGGGGAGCGAACAGGAUUAGAUACCCUGGUAGCGAG
rnacentral:rRNA from 1 species